CUUAGAAAUUUAGGGUUUAUCUUAGAUAUUCUUAUACUAUGAAGUAAGCUUAUAUAAGUAUUGUGAUAAUUCUACCAGAGUUCACUUGACUGUCCAGAGUCCAUCUAACCAAUCAUGUGUUUCAUGAGCUAGAUAGUCUCUAGGUAAGACACUCUAUGGGUGUGUCAUAAACUACAAUUACUGAAACAGGUAAUUCAGUUUUUAAAGAAAUUAACCUGGUAUGUAAAAGCCUUAGCAAAAUAGGACAGUAAAAAGUCAUCUCCAAUCAGUCUAAGAAACAACUCAGCCCAAGAGCUUCUUACAGACCUUGUAUUCCAGUAAAUAAGAAAGAAACACAAAAUACCAAGGAAGUUUGCCCUUUACAUCAAGGAGAGAAAAACAGGCCUUUCCUGAAUGAUUGAGAACAAAUUCAACAAAGAAAUGGUAAUUGAUGCAUGGAGAACACCUUUGUAAAAGUUCUACAAGACUGUAUUUAAAAUAACUUGUUCCAUCUAGCACCUAAUCUUAGUUUCUCCUAUAAAAUGACACAGGGCUCCUUGGAAAACUCACUAAUUCUAGAGUUGGGGCAGGAAAAGUACAAGUUGACCCUGGCCAUCAUGUAAUGACAAAAAAUUAAAAAGUGCUAAAAAAUUAAAAACACAGCUAUGGAUACAUGUCAAAAGGAUAUAAGGUGAGCUGAAAGAGUUCCCUGUGGCCAAAGCCAUAACAAUUUGAGCAAAAAAAAAAAAAUGAAUAAAUUUGUACUGGAUUAUAACCCAAAGUAUAAAAUAAAAAGACAUGAGUUAA